CAGCAGCCACGGUAAAACGGAGGGGGCUAGCGUUGUUCGGAAUUACUGGGCAUAAAGCGCACGUAGGCGGCUUGGUAAGUUAGAGGUGAAAGCCUGGAGCUCAACUCCAGAAUUGCCUUUAAGACUGCCGAGCUAGCAGGUGAGAGAGGUAAGUGGAAUUCCGAGUGUAGAGGUGAAAUUCGUAGAUAUUCGGAAGAACACCAGUGGCGAAGGCGGCUUACUGGCUCAUACUGGACGCUGAGGUGCGAAAGCGUGGGGAGCAAACAGGAUUAGAUACCCCUGUAGUCCCUGUCUCUUAUAC
rnacentral:rRNA from 1 species